UAUAGGUUAAUGCAGAAGUUAGGUGAAGAAGGACCCGGGCAAGACUUACAGGCAAGCUACCUCUCCAUGGUGGAGAACUUGGAGCUCAGAUUUGAUUUCUCGUGUAGCUAGUAACUACUCAAGAUUGGAGGCAUGUUCCAAGAAGUCAUUGCAAUGUCUGUUCCAGUACUGAACCAAUCUAGCUCGGCUCCAUUUCAAGCCAUCAUAGGCACCACCUCAGACAUUCUACUCACUGCAAAGCCAGGGAGCCAUUUCUCUCUCUCAGGACAAUGACAAGCAUUGGGAUAGCCAAGGCAGUAGAUUCUCAAUCAAUUGGUGCUCUGUCUACUAGGUGAAGAGUGACAAAUAAAGAAUGUAAAUGACCAACACCAAAGCAGGAUCUGCAAGUCAACUGGCUCAUCUGCAUAUUAUUUGAGGUGUUGUCGGACUGCCUGCGAUACCAUUCGUCAACUCUUUUCUAGUUGCACUACCUCUUUGGUUAUCUAAGCUUAAGAAUUAAUAUUCAAAUUACAUCUCAGAUGUAGCUGAUGAGAUUGGCAUUGCUAUUGUUUCAUAUUAGAUUGUUGCCAAACUGAUUAAUUGAACAUGGAUGUCAAUGCAUUGAAAUCCAUUCUACCAUUGUAUGUGUGAUCAUCUGUGAUGUGUUAUUAGGAUCCUACUAUUCUGAUGUAAGCAAAUAAUAUAAAUGAAUCAGCAAACCCAUUUUAGUUUGCCCUCAA